AACGCGAAGAACCUUACCUGGGUUUGACAUCCCGGGAAAGCCCUCGAAAGAGGGAGGUGCCCUUCGGGGAACUCGGAGACAGGUGCUGCAUGGCUGUCGUCAGCUCGUGUCGUGAGAUGUUGGGUUAAGUCCCGCAACGAGCGCAACCCUUAUCUUUAGUUACCAUCAUUUAGUUGGGGACUCUAAAGAUACUGCCCCGGUCAACGGGGAGGAAGGUGGGGACGACGUCAAGUCCUCAUGGCCUUUAUACCCAGGGCUACACACGUGCUACAAUGGGCUGCACAAAGGGUCGCCACCUCGUGAGGGGGAGCUAAUCCCAGAAAGCAGUCCUAAGUUCGGAUUGGAGUCUGCAACUCGACUCCAUGAAGCUGGAAUCGCUAGUAAUCGUGGAUCAGCAUGCCACGGUGAAUACGUUCCCGGGGCUUGUACACACCGCCCGUCACAGCACGAAAGUUGGUUGUACCAGAAGUUGCUGGGCCAACCCGUAAGGGAGGCAGGUACCCAAGGUAUGAUUGAUGAUUGGGCUGAAGUCGUAACAAGGUAACCUUAAUUAAAA
rnacentral:rRNA from 1 species